GAACUAUGGUUGUGCGUAUUUUUUGUUAUUUUUCAAUGAGUCCUUGGAACACAUAGCACAUGACAAAGGUAAAGUUUUGGACCAGUGUUUUGGAUGUCUAAAACUACUAGCUCCUUCGUCCUCCGAUGGCGUAAUGGAAGAUACCAUGGAAAUAGCCAUGGAAAUAUUUUGAAAGCUUUAGCUCUGUAAUUGACCAGCAGUAGACGGGAAAUUGAUUAUACCUAGAAUUUUUGAAAGUUAAAGCUAUUGAGACCCUCGGUGGCGGUGUUGUCCGAUACCGUGGAGGAAGUCUUCACAUUGAGACUUGUAGUACUUCUGAGAAACUUCCUGCGAAACUUCCCAAUUACCUAAAUUGGGUACAGAAUAAAUUUAUUGACUUUAUAAAAAGUAUAUUUACUAUACGUACA